UACGGAGGGAGCUAGCGUUGUUCGGAAUUAUUGGGCGUAAAGAGCUCGUAGGCGGCCUGUUGCGUCCGCUGUGAAAGCCCGGGGCUUAACCCCGGGUCGGCAGUGGAUACGGGCAGGCUAGAGGUAGGUAGGGGAGAAUGGAAUUCCCGGUGUAGCGGUGAAAUGCGCAGAUAUCGGGAGGAACACCGGUGGCGAAGGCGGUUCUCUGGGCCUUACCUGACGCUGAGGAGCGAAAGCGUGGGGAGCGAACAGG
rnacentral:rRNA from 1 species